UACGGAGGGGGCUAGCGUUGUUCGGAAUUACUGGGCGUAAAGCGCACGUAGGCGGAUCGUUAAGUCGGGGGUGAAAUCCUGGAGCUCAACUCCAGAACUGCCUUCGAUACUGGCGAUCUUGAGUCCGGAAGAGGUGAGUGGAACUCCUAGUGUAGAGGUGGAAUUCGUAGAUAUUAGGAAGAACACCAGUGGCGAAGGCAGCCUUCUGGGCCAACACUGACGCUCAUGCACGAAAGCGUGGGGAGCAAACAGG
rnacentral:rRNA from 1 species